rnacentral:rRNA from 1 species
GAUGAACGCUGGCGGCGUGCCUAAUACAUGCAAGUCGAGCGAACAGACGAGGAGCUUGCUCCUCUGACGUUAGCGGCGGACGGGUGAGUAACCCGUGGAUAACCUACCUAUAAGACUGGGAUAACUUCGGGAAACCGGCGCUAAUACCGGAUAAUAUAUUGAACCGCAUGGUUCAAUAGUGAAAGACGGUUUUGCUGUCACUUAUAGAUGGAUCCGCGCCGCAUUAGCUAGUUGGUAAGGUAACGGCUUACCAAGGCAACGAUGCGUAGCCGACCUGAGAGGGUGAUCGGCCACACUGGAACGGAGACACGGUCCAGACUCCUACGGGAGGCAGCAGUAGGGAAUCUUCCGCAAUGGGCGAAAGCCUGACGGAGCAACGCCGCGUGAGUGAUGAAGGUCUUCGGAUCGUAAAACUCUGUUAUUAGGGAAGAACAAAUGUGUAAGUAACUAUGCACGUCUUGACGGUACCUAAUCAGAAAGCCACGGCUAACUACGUG